rnacentral:rRNA from 1 species
AGAGUUUGAUCAUGGCUCAGAACGAACGUUGGCGGCGUGGAUUAGGCAUGCAAGUCGUGCGUGAAAGGGGCUUCGGCCCUGAGUAAAGCGGCGAACGGGUGAGUAACGCGUGGGAAACCUGCCUCGAGGUGGGGGAUAACACUCCCAACGGAGUGCUAAUACCGCAUGACAUCCCUUGGUCGCAUGGCCGAGGGAUCAAAGAUGGCCUCUACUUGUAAGCUAUCGCCUGGAGAUGGUCCCGCGUCCGAUUAGCUAGUUGGUGAGGUAACGGCUCACCAAGGCGACGAUCGGUAGCUGGUCUGAGAGGAUGGUCAGCCACACUGGGACUGAGAUACGGCCCAGACUCCUACGGGAGGCAGCAGUCGAGAGGCUUCGGCAAUGGGGGAAACCCUGACCGAGCGACGCCGCGUGAGGGACGAAGUCCUUCGGGGUGUAAACCUCUUUUCUGAGGGAAGAAACCCGCGACGGUGAACAAUCGUUGCGAUUGACGGUACCUCAGGAAUAAGCUCCGGCUAACUCCGUGCCAGCAGCCGCGGUAACACGGGGGGAGCAAACGUUGUUCGGAAUCACUGGGCGUAAAGGGCGCGUAGGCGGCCCCGUAAGUGGUGUGUGAAAUGCCCUGGCUCAACCAGGGAAUAGCGCUCCAAACUGCGGGGCUUGAGGGCAGUAGAGGAAGCUGGAAUUCCAGGUGUAGCGGUGAAAUGCGUAGAUAUCUGGAGGAACACCGUUGGCGAAGGCGAGCUUCUGGGCUGUCACUGACGCUGAGGCGCGAAAGCUGGGGGAGCAAACAGGAUUAGAUACCCUGGUAGUCCCAGCUGUAAACGGUGAACACUAGGUGGUGGGGAGGUGUCGACCCUUCCCGUGCCGCAGCUAACGCAUUAAGUGUUCCGCCUGGGGAGUACGGUCGCAAGGCUGAAACUCAAAUGAAUUGACGG